rnacentral:tRNA from 1 species
GACCAGGUGGCUUAGUUGGUUGGAGCAUCCUCCCAUGCAUCAAAAAGUUGUGGGUUCAAUUCCAGUCCCGGUCA